rnacentral:rRNA from 1 species
UAGGGAAUCUUCGGCAAUGGACGAAAGUCUGACCGAGCAACGCCGCGUGAGUGAAGAAGGUUUUCGGAUCGUAAAACUCUGUUGUUAGAGAAGAACAAGGACGUUAGUAACUGAACGUCCCCUGACGGUAUCUAACCAGAAAGCCACGGCUAACUACGUGCCAGCAGCCGCGGUAAUACGUAGGUGGCAAGCGUUGUCCGGAUUUAUUGGGCGUAAAGCGAGCGCAGGCGGUUUCUUAAGUCUGAUGUGAAAGCCCCCGGCUCAACCGGGGAGGGUCAUUGGAAACUGGGAGACUUGAGUGCAGAAGAGGAGAGUGGGAUUCCAUGUGUAGCGGUGAAAUGCGUAGAUAUAUGGAGGAACACCAGUGGCGAAGGCGGCUCUCUGGUCUGUAACUGACGCUGAGGCUCGGAAGCGUGGGGAGCAAACAGG